CAUUCCUUUUGUAAUUUAGAAAAGGAAGGGGGGCAAAAUAGGCAUUUCAAAAGAGGACACCAUUGCUCCCCCCUUCCCUUAUAUAAUAGAGAUGAAUUAAGGGUAAUUAUUUUUGGUUAAAUAAUAAUAAUACAAAAAGAAAAAGAAAACAAUGAAAGAAAAAAAGGAGAAGGUAGUAGAAUUAAACUCAAAGUUGACUUCCCUCUUCUAGCUUCCUACAUACAUGGAAACUAUUCAUGUAAUUUACAUACUUGGCAACAAUUCAUGCAACUACAUACAUGGCAACUAUUUGACUUUCCUCUUCUACCUUCCUAAAUGCGAAAAAGGAGUCAUGUCUGCUCUUCUGAUUAUAACUUUUGAUGUGCUUGUUAGAAUCAAAUAAUUCCAAUAGAUUUAGAAACUAGACUUUAAGGGACUUCCAAUGAUAGGUAGCACCCCCGAGGAGACUUCAAUUCAAAGAGUUAUGCCUUUCGAAAAAUUGCACUGUUUCUGCUAAAUCUGCCAUGCCGCGCGGAUUACUAAUCCGCCAAUUAAUGAUUUAUUCAAGACUUUCUUUAUCUUGUAAAUUACUUUCCUAGUCAUAUGGGAUUACUUAAUAUUAUUUAGAAGAGAUUAGCUUUUCAUUCUUUCUCUCUCCUUCCUUUUACACGUUAGUUUUUAUUAUCUAAGUUUAGUUUUAGUUUUCUCUCCCUUUUCUCUCUAGUUUUUUUAGUUGCAAACCCUACUUUUUCAUGUUCUUCAUUAAUUAAUGAUUUUUAUUUAUUUCUUUCAUUGAUUUAUCUAAUUAUGUUGUCUUCGGUAGAUGAAGUUUUUAUUCGUUGUUUUAUGAUUGAGUAGCCUUAUUUUCUAGGGUUUGGGAAUCCAUGUUUAUAUAAUAUGAUUAUUGAUUGAUAUUUAUUGAUGGUUUGAUUAGUUACUUAUAUCUCUAAUUGAUUUAAUGUUUUUAUUUUUAAUCUUGCAAUCUGAUCAAUUUUUUUAUUAAAUAUUGGUAAUACCGAGUCAUAGAUCGAGAAAUAGUACUCUUUAGAGGCUUACCUACAGUUAGCAAAUCUGAUUAGGUUGAGUGACCAUACUAGCAUAUGUUGAUUUGCGAGCGUUAAGACCUGACCGUAGGAUUAACCUGUGCUCUAGAUAUCUGAUUAAUUGAACUAUUGAUGAUAUUUUGAUAGAUUACAGUUAUAAACAUGGUGAACCAUUAUCCUAGAUCCUUUUUAGUUUGAUUUUCGUAGUUUGAUUAGUUUGGAACUUUCAUUCAUAUAUUUUUGAUCUUGUUUAGUUUCUCUAUACCUUAGAAACUAAAUUAAAUACGACCAUGUCUCUGUGGAUUCGACCCUACUUACCCUUCUACAUUGUUAGAAUGUUUUGAAGGAAUUAUUUUUGACAGGUGUACGACAGCCUAUCAGUGCUAGAUGUCCGACGGAGCCUUGCCAUCACACGUGAACUGUCGCCACGCCACCGGUGGCCCCCUCGCUGCGGGGCUGCACUGGUCGACCCUGGUCACUUGAGCAGAGGUAUGAACGGGGAAGACAGAAUGACGUAUCAGUGAGGAGUAUUCUAGUUCUUAAGCUUUCAUAAACACUUAUGGUUAUAUUCAGACUAUAUUUUACAGGUUGAUAUGAUGCAUACUUCAUAUGGGGGAGCUAGUGAGGAAUCAUAAUUAGUCAAGGAGUUGUUAUUUUAUUUUAUUUAUUUGUAUUGUUAUAUAGUUGUACAAUAAAAUUUAUAUUAAUAAAGAGAAGUUAUUUAAGUUA